UACAGAGGGUGCGAGCGUUGUCCGGAAUCACUGGGCGUAAAGGGCGCGUAGGUGGUGGCUUAAGCGUGCGGUGAAAGCUCGGGGCUCAACCCCGAGUCGGCCGUGCGAACUGGGCUCACUGGAGCAUAGUAGAGGCAGGUGGAAUUCCGGGUGUAGCGGUGGAAUGCGUAGAGAUCCGGAAGAACACCGGUGGCGAAGGCGGCCUGCUGGGCAGUGGCUGACGCUGAGGCGCGACAGCGUGGGGAGCAAACAGG
rnacentral:rRNA from 1 species